rnacentral:lncRNA from 1 species
CAGCAGCAUGUGAGAAUGUCAGCCAUAAGCACCAAAGAGAAAAAGAAAGCAAAGGAAUGGGUGUGGGAAGUCUGGGGUGGGGGUGGGGGUGGAGGCGGUGGGGUAUCUAGUGGUUUGUAUGUCUUUCUGCAAGGAUUUCCCAAACCCCUCUUCCUCAGAACUGCUUCUGUCUUACAGGCUGCCAGUGCACAGUAUAGGUAGCUUGAUGACGGUAUUUAACACAUGCGUCCUUGUACUUAUAUAGACGGGCUAUUUAUACACAUGGGUCAUGCGUUGCAACUGGAAUCUAGGUCCCUAGAGACUUGGUACCUUCAAACUCCAGCCCCUGGACAUGCUUUACACAGCCGCUGUUCACAGGGUGUUUCCUGAAUGGAGAGAGAGCUCUGCCCAUCAGAAGUCCAGUCUAAUGUACGUGGGCUUCUGUUUUUGCCCCUUCAGUGUUUUUUCCUAUACAUUUCUCUCCUUGUUUUUCUUUCCUGUUUGCAACAGAGGUUUUUUUAAAUACUUUCCGGAGAAGCGAUGGAGAAAAGCAUAAAACAGACUCGGGGAGAGGAACUUAAACUGGGACCACAAGUGAGGUCCCUACAACCACCUCGGAUCCAGGACCGUCCUCCAGACACUGGCACCACAAGGUCCAGAUCUACUGUGGCUGCUAGGAAUCUGCUCCUCGGAGAGUCCAUCUCCGUCAUCGAUUCUGGGUAACACCCACCUUUUCCUUGUGCUCUCUUGAGCGCACUCUUGACCUUGCAACUAAAUGAACUGAACUAGAGCGGGAAUGGCUGAGGCACAGUCUUAAAAACAAAAUUCUGACUGUAAAAUUCGAAGGAUCCUAAGGGUUUUCUAACUCAAAGCAUGCAUGGAUUCUGACAAUUAAACAACACUUGCGACACCCAAAGCUGCUUGUAUUUCACGGCAUCAAGACAGAGGACAAGCUAUGACCAGACCUAACUGUUUUUAGUUUUUAAAAAAGUGCUUGUAACUGUGCAAAAGAGGUGAUGCUCAGUCCAGAGCAACGCAAAGACCAACUAAGAUUAUCCCCGGGGCCUAAGCUCUGCUGUGAGGGUGUGACUGACAUACAGUUAGGGCAGAGACUGUGAACCUCUAAAUGUCACUUUGGAUGGACAUAAACCAGUCCCUCAUCAAAGGCUGCAUUUUGUAAAAGGGCACCCACUGAGCAGCUCUUGACCUACCAGAACACUGGCCUUCACAGCAUCCUGACAGACACAGUAUAAAGAGUUCCGGACUAAAAUGAAAGAUCCUGGGAGUUCCCACUGUGGUGCAGUGGGUUAAGGAUCCGGCAUUGGCACAGCUGUGGUUUAAGUUGCAUCUGUGGCUCAGAUUCCAUCUCUGACCUGGGAACUUCUAUAUGCCUCAGGUGCAGCCAAAAACAACCAAACAAAAAGAGUGAUCCUGGGUAAGACUCCCAGCUCUUCAUGUAGCAGCCAUGUGACUUGAACAAGCAACUUUAACUUUCUAAGCCACAUCCAUGCAACGAAAAGCAUGUACUAAAUAAAAGAUCAUCAAUGGAUAAACA